GUUUUAAUAGUUUAGUAACAAAACAAUGAUUUUGUAAAUCAUAGAUAGGACAUACCUUUAAAACU
rnacentral:tRNA from 1 species